rnacentral:rRNA from 1 species
UGGGGAAUAUUGGACAAUGGGGGCAACCCUGAUCCAGCAAUGCCGCGUGUGUGAAGAAGGUCUUCGGAUUGUAAAGCACUUUCGACGGGGACGAUGAUGACGGUACCCGUAGAAGAAGCCCCGGCUAACUUCGUGCCAGCAGCCGCGGUAAUACGAAGGGGGCUAGCGUUGCUCGGAAUGACUGGGCGUAAAGGGCGUGUAGGCGGUUUACACAGUCAGAUGUGAAAUCCCCGGGCUUAACCUGGGAGCUGCAUUUGAUACGUGUAGACUAGAGUGUGAGAGAGGGUUUGUGGAAUUCCCAGUGUAGAGG